rnacentral:rRNA from 1 species
GACGAACGCUGGCGGCGUGCUUAACACAUGCAAGUCGAACGGAAAGGCCCUGCUUUUGUGGGGUGCUCGAGUGGCGAACGGGUGAGUAACACGUGAGUAACCUGCCCUUGACUUUGGGAUAACUUCAGGAAACUGGGGCUAAUACCGGAUAGGAGCUCCUGCUGCAUGGUUGGGGUUGGAAAGUUUCGGCGGUUGGGGAUGGACUCGCGGCUUAUCAGCUUGUUGGUGGGGUAGUGGCUUACCAAGGCUUUGACGGGUAGCCGGCCUGAGAGGGUGACCGGCCACAUUGGGACUGAGAUACGGCCCAGACUCCUACGGGAGGCAGCAGUGGGGAAUAUUGAACAAUGGGAGGAAGCCUGAUGCAGCAACGCCGCGUGCGGGAUGACGGCCUUCGGGUUGUAAACCGCUUUCGCCUGUGACGAAGCGUGAGUGACGGUAAUGGGUAAAGAAGCACAGGCUAACUACGUG